rnacentral:rRNA from 1 species
GCGAACGCUGGCGGCGUGCCUAACACAUGCAAGUCGAACGUGAAAGGGGGCAACCCCGAGUAAAGUGGCGUACGGGUGAGUAACACGUAGGUAAUCUACCCUAGAGUCUGGAAUAACCUGACGAAAGUCGGGCUAAUACUGGAUAGAGCGACGGAAUCCGUAAUUGGGUUUUUCGGGAAAGGGAGGAAGCAAUUCCCCUCGCUUUAGGAUGAGCCUGCGUCCCAUCAGGUAGUUGGUAAGGUAACGGCUUACCAAGCCUAUGACGGGUAGCUGGUCUGAGAGGAUGAUCAGCCACACUGGAACUAAAACACGGUCCAGACUCCUACGGGAGGCAGCAGUGGGGAAUCUUGCGCAAUGGACGAAAGUCUGACGCAGCAACGCCGCGUGAGUGAAGAAGGCCUUCGGGUUGUAAAGCUCUGUCGGAGGGGACGAAAAUACUUAGCGUUAACAGCGCUAGGAGUUGACGGUACCCUCAAAGGAAGCACCGGCUAACUCUGUGCCAGCAGCCGCGGUAAUACAGAGGGUGCAAGCGUUGCUCGGAAUCAUUGGGCGUAAAGGGCAGGUAGGUGGUCCCAUUUGUCUGAGGUGAAAGCCUUGAGCUUAACUCAAGAAGUGCCUUAGAAACGGUGGGACUAGAGUGCUAGAGAGGGUUGUGGAAUUCCCGGUGUAGCGGUGAAAUGCGUAGAGAUCGGGAGGAACACCAGAGGCGAAGGCGGCAACCUGGAUAGUAACUGACACUCAACUGCGAAAGCGUGGGGAGCAAACAGGAUUAGAUACCCUGGUAGUCCACGCUGUAAACGAUGGGUACUAGCUUUGGUGGGUCUUGACCCCCGCUGAAGCGGCGCUAACGCACUAAGUACCCCCGCCUGGGAAGUACGGUCGCAAGACUAAAACUCAAAGGAAUUGACGGGGGCCCGCACAAGCGGUGGAUCAUGUGGUUUAAUUCGAAGCAACGCGAAGAACCUUACCUGGGUUUGACAUCUUCUGACAUCCGUAGAGAUACGGCCUUUGUAGCAAUACAACAGAAAGACAGGUGCUGCAUGGCUGUCGUCAGCUCGUGUGGUGACAUGUUGGGUUAAGUCCCGCAACGAGCGCAACCCUUGUCCUUAGUUGCCAGCAUUCAGUUGGGCUCUCUAAGGAGACUGCCGUGGUGAACACGGAGGAAGGUGGGGAUGACGUCAAGUCCUCAUGGCCUUUAUAUCCAGGGCGACACACGUGAUACAAUGGUAGAUACAGAGGGAAGCCAACCCGCAAGGGGGAGCCAAUCUCAAAAAGCCUAUCUCAGUUCGGAUUGGAGUCUGCAACUCGACUCCAUGAAGUUGGAAUCGCUAGUAAUCGCGGAUCAGCACGCCGCGGUGAAUACGUUCCCGGGCCUUGUACACACCGCCCGUCACACCAUGGGAGCUGACUCAACCAGAAGCAGGUCAGGGUAACCGUAAGGAGCCCUCCUUCGAAGGUGGGGUUGGUGACUGGGGUG